GCUCGUUUGGCUUCGUGGCAGAGCGCUCCACUGGAAAUAGAGAGGUCCCGGGUUCGAUACGCGGACCAGGCG
rnacentral:tRNA from 1 species